ACAUCCCAUGCUGGACCCUUUGUGGCAGGGGUGAGGCCCCAGCCUGAGGGCCAGUGAGUGCUGGAGGUAAUUUCAUCCAGUGAUAGUGCUGCUAUGCAUGGCUUAUGUUUUACAGAGUUAGUUAUUUUCAGUCACACUCUGUAACCUAGACUGCCAGACUCAUCUCUUUAGGAAGAGGAUUCCUUCUGGAAACAGGCCAUCGUGAAAGUACUGACAUGUCUAUGAAAGGCAAAACAUUUUGUUUUGGAAAGCUUCAUAUUGUCACCGAAAGAGGGGUAUGUAGUUGUGGUGCAAUCCUGAUGUCCUCAUAGGCAAGGUAGCGCUGGAAAGUUUUAAAGUGAAAAGCUUAGGUAAAGGACACCAUUGCAUUGUAGUCAAAUGUGAAAAUCAGAUUACAGUAUUUGUUGCUACCUCCCAAAACAAAAUGUAACAACUCUUAUUGAAAAAAAAAAAAAAUCUAGUAAUAAAAUCAUCAGUCCAAACACAAGCUAGACAGCUAGAAGUGGUAUUUUUUACUAACAGCUUCUAAAUGUCUGAGGAAACAUUGUACCAUCCAAACAGUCAAUAAAUGAAACUUCUUUCAAGCUAACAUUAGCAAUUAAUAGCACUUUUUGUUUUUCAAGUGAGAGCUAUGCCAAAGGAAAUAAUGCAAACUUCAUGGGAAGAGUUUAACUAGUAUCCCUGAACGCUAUCUUCCCAAAGAGACUACAGAGACAACAGACAUCUAUAUUAAUUAAUUGAGUAAAAUUAUCUGCUUAGUUAAAUGGAUGUAAUUAAAAGUAAUGUCUUGAGGUCUGUCUUUUAAAGUCCUUUUGCUGCUUUAAAAAAAUUAUCUGGGACAAGUUUUCCUCUGAAGAGACCAGUAAUUUGUUUGACCAAAAUGUCUAAACAAGUUUCCAAGUUUCCGGAGACUCAGCAUUGAGCUUGCUGACUCACUGGACAGAAUUUAGUCAAUAACAGGAAAAUCUACCUUCAGAUAGUUCUAUUAACAAGAAUCCACAUACAGAGGAAAAAUCAAGUGGAGCUUUUUUCAGACUGAGGCUUAUUUUGAGCGACACUGAAAGUGGUCAUGUUGACACAUAAUUCAGGCUUUAGAGGAGUGCAAGAAAACAAAGUAGUGAAAAUGUAGAUUUAGGCCAGAGGUGAAGAACCCAAGAAUCAAAAAGUGAGGCAGGAGAUAGGUACUGAAAAAUCUCACAAGAGAGAGAAUUGAGUUGAAAUGCAUGAAAUGUCCUGAGAAAGACUGUGGAGUUAGCAUGAGACCAACUAAAAAGAGCUGUGCACAGGGGAGCAACCAUUCUGGCUGGGAAAGAACUGUGUCAGGAGAUAAGACUCUCUGCCUUGUCAGACAGAUACUUUACUGUACUUGGCAUCCUCAAUUUUUUUCUUCUCCAUAAAAAAUUAAAAAGUCAAGAAAAUCUCCUAAGUUUUGACAAUAAACUGAUAAUUAAAGGACAGCUUUAGAGUUAUGAUAUUGUUUAAAUCACAUCCAAUCAGUCCACAGACUUGAAUAUUUUAUCAGUGCUCCAGCAGUAGGGAUAUUGGUUGCUCUGGAUAAAAUUAAACUCAUUUGUUCCCUUCAGUUCAAUGCAAGCUGCAUCCUGCUUUGCCAUAUUUGACUUCUGAUAAAACACUACUGGCACACUGUUCCACCUCAAAAUGCUGCCUGUGGUUCAAGCUUCUUUGUCCUGAGGAGUGACAUAAACCAUUCAUGAGGUCACUCCCUGGCUCUGUAGCACCAGUUCAACUCUCUGUGUGGCCAUUUAAACAGAUUUGUGAAAUUAUCCAUCUUUAACAUCCAAGAUGAGCAAUCUCUCUGCUCUCUCCUCAGCUGUGGCCAGAUCAUGUUGACCUUGAUCCCCAAGGGCAGAGCACUGGGAUGACAGCUGAGGUCACCAGAGAAGUGUCCAACUUAAACAACAAAACACAUGAGCAGCCUGGAGUCUGGAAGAAACAGGAGAACACUGCAUUUUGAUUUGAAUCUUCUACACAUUUAACAAAAAGUGGAACUUUGGAAAAUGCGUUGAACUGUUUGGAUGGCAUUCUUCUAAAACUGCACACUAUCACAGGCAAAUUGAAUAGCAUAGGCAUUUAAGAUUUCUCAACUGUUUGCUCAAAAUAGCUAUUUUUAUUCCAGGUGGGGCUGCACAUGUGUGUUCUGCUCAACAGCUAUGAACAAAAACACUAGAGGAAACAUUUUCUUCAGACUUCAGACUUCAGUAAAACAGUAAUGGAGUAAGGUUGCUCUGUUUUCAGACAAUAGUUGCUUUUGUAAGAAAUGGUAUUUUUCUUGGCUUUGUGUAUCUCUUGUUUAAACCAAAGUAGUGCACUCAGGAUAUCAUUUAAUGUUAUUCAGAAGGGAUUGCCUUUAUCAGUGCAAGGGUAAAGAGUGCAAUCAAAAUGUGGGUGUAUUUAUCCUUAUCUGGGGGAGCUCACUACAUGACAAACAUGAGUGGGAUUUGAGAUGAGCUAUGAGAGAACCUGAGUAAGGCAGUAAUUGAAUAUUGAGUAAUAUCUGCAGAGAACACAAGGAAGAAAGAGACUUGAAACCUCAGACAUGGGAUCAGUUUAUUGCACUUUUCUUUAUUCAGUAACCAGUCACAACUAUAAAACAAAUCAAGUAAAAAUUACUUACAUAGCCCUUAACCUAAAAACCCCAACAAAAUCUGAUUGAAAAUGACACUUUACCUACAAAAUCAUAACAGUGUUUUAGAACUUAGAUGGAAAAAGAAGUUUCUCUAUUAGUCAUAUUACAGUUUUGAAUGAAUAUUAUGUUUAAUGUUAUAUGAUGCCCCUGUAAAGCUUAAAACUAAACAGAAAUGGGCCAGGUUUCUGUUCUUUCUUUUGGCCAGCCUUAGAGUUAUAUUAUUACUGAUGAUAGAUAAACUGGUGCAGAUCUUCAUUUGGCUAGAAGACUUCAUAGCAGACUACAGUGUACUCAUAAUUUCUUAGACAACUGCAGGAGGGACCUGCCUGUCCAUCUGUCACAUCUUGUUUUAACUGUGCAGCUUUUUUUAUUAAUCAAGAGACUCAUACAAACCAAUAUAAUUUUCUGAAAUAUUUAUAUGCUUCUCAUUUCAUGACCAUGGCAAUUCUCUUGAGUUCUUUCCCAAAAAUGGUAAAAUCAGAUCCACAUUUCAUUCAUUUUCCAUAAAUAAUGUAGCUUGUCUGCUGUGGUAUGUGGGCUAUUAUGUUACCUGUAACAGCUUAAUCAAAUAUUUUUCAAUUACAACAAUGUAAUAAAAUUGACUGUUUGUAACGCUGAAUAUUUAUAC